rnacentral:rRNA from 1 species
UACGAGGGGGGCAAGCGUUGUUCGGAAUUAUUGGGCGUAAAGGGCGCGUAGGCGGUGCGGUAAGUCUGAUGUGAAAUCUCCGGGCUCAACUCGGAGUCUGCAUCAGAAACUGCCGUGCUUGAGUGUGGGAGAGGUGAGUGGAAUUCCCGGUGUAGCGGUGAAAUGCGUAGAUAUGUGGAGGAAUACCGAUGGCGAAGGCAGCCCCCUGGGAUAACACUGACGCUCAUGCACGAAAGCGUGGGGAGCAAACAGG